rnacentral:rRNA from 1 species
GUGGGGAAUAUUGGACAAUGGGCGAAAGCCUGAUCCAGCCAUGCCGCGUGUGUGAAGAAGGUCUUCGGAUUGUAAAGCACUUUAAGUUGGGAGGAAGGGCAGUAAGUUAAUACCUUGCUGUUUUGACGUUACCGACAGAAUAAGCACCGGCUAACUUCGUGCCAGCAGCCGCGGUAAUACGAAGGGUGCAAGCGUUAAUCGGAAUUACUGGGCGUAAAGCGCGCGUAGGUGGUUUUGUAAGUUGGAGGUGAAAUCCCCGGGCUCAACCUGGGAACUGCCUCCAAAACUGCAUGACUAGAGUACGGUAGAGGGCAGUGGAAUUUCCUGUGUAGCGGUGAAAUGCGUAGAUAUAGGAAGGAACACCAGUGGCGAAGGCGACUACCUGGACUGAUACUGACACUGAGGUGCGAAAGCGUGGGGAGCAAACAGGAUUAGAAACCCCGGUAGUCC